GACGAACGCUGGCGGCGUGCUUAACACAUGCCAGUCGAACGGAAAGGCCCUGCUUUUGUGGGGUGCUCGAGUGGCGAACGGGUGAGUAACACGUGAGUAACCUGCCCUUGACUUUGGGAUAACUUCAGGAAACUGGGGCUAAUACCGGAUAGGAGCUCCUGCUGCAUGGUGGGGGUUGGAAAGUUUCGGCGGUUGGGGAUGGACUCGCGGCUUAUCAGCUUGUUGGUGGGGUAGUGGCUUACCAAGGCUUUGACGGGUAGCCGGCCUGAGAGGGUGACCGGCCACAUUGGGACUGAGAUACGGCCCAGACUCCUACGGGAGGCAGCAGUGGGGAAUAUUGCACAAUAGGCGGAAGCCUGAUGCAGCAACGCCGCGUGCGGGAUGACGGCCUUCGGGUUGUAAACCGCUUUCGCCUGUGACGAAGCGUGAGUGACGGUAAUGGGUAAAGAAGCACCGGCUAACUACGUG
rnacentral:rRNA from 1 species